rnacentral:rRNA from 1 species
UACGAAGCGAGCGAACGUUGUUCGGAAUCACUGGGCUUAAAGGGCGCGUAGGCGGGCUGUCAAGUCUGGGGUGAAAUCCCCGGGCUCAACCCGGGAACUGCGUCCGAUACUGGCAGGCUUGAAUCCGGGAGAGGGAUGCGGAAUUCCAGGUGUAGCGGUGAAAUGCGUAGAUAUCUGGAGGAACACCGGUGGCGAAGGCGGCAUCCUGGACCGGUAUUGACGCUGAGGCGCGAAAGCCAGGGGAGCAAACGGG